UACGGAGGGUCCAAGCGUUAUCCGGAAUCAUUGGGUUUAAAGGGUCCGUAGGCGGUUUUGUAAGUCAGUGGUGAAAGCCCAUCGCUCAACGGUGGAACGGCCAUUGAUACUGCAAGACUUGAAUUAUUAGGAAGUAACUAGAAUAUGUAGUGUAGCGGUGAAAUGCUUAGAGAUUACAUGGAAUACCGAUUGCGAAGGCAGGUUACUACUAAUUGAUUGACGCUGAUGGACGAAAGCGUGGGGAGCGAACAGG
rnacentral:rRNA from 1 species